rnacentral:rRNA from 1 species
AAUGAACGCUGGCGGCGUGCUUAACACAUGCAAGUCGAACGGUGAAGGCGGAGCUUGCUCUGCUGGAUCAGUGGCGAACGGGUGAGUAACACGUGAGCAAUCUGCCCCUGACUCUGGGAUAAGCGCUGGAAACGGCGUCUAAUACUGGAUACGAGCUGCGAAGGCAUCUUCAGCAGCUGGAAAGAAUUUCGGUCAGGGAUGAGCUCGCGGCCUAUCAGCUUGUUGGUGAGGUAAUGGCUCACCAAGGCGUCGACGGGUAGCCGGCCUGAGAGGGUGACCGGCCACACUGGGACUGAGACACGGCCCAGACUCCUACGGGAGGCAGCAGUGGGGAAUAUUGCACAAUGGGCGAAAGCCUGAUGCAGCAACGCCGCGUGAGGGACGACGGCCUUCGGGUUGUAAACCUCUUUUAGCAGGGAAGAAGCGAAAGUGACGGUACCUGCAGAAAAAGCGCCGGCUAACUACGUG